rnacentral:RNase_P_RNA from 2 species
AGAGUAGGCGCAGGUGGUUGCAGAUUCAAACACUGGGGAUUUGGAAUACCCGAUACUUGGUGUGGAAUCUGAGGAAAGUCCGGGCUCCCGAAAGACCAGACUUGCUGGAUAACGUCCAGUGCGCGUGAGCGUGAGGAUAGUGCCACAGAAAGAUACCGCCUUUUUUCAGUUUACUGAAGAGGGUAAGGGUGCAAAGGUGCGGUAAGAGCGCACCAGCAACAUCGAGAGGUGUUGGCUCGGUAAACCCCGGUUGGGUGCAAGGUAAAGGAACGACGGUUGGUCUUUUACCGGUUCCGCAAAAGAGAGCCGCUAGAGGCAACUGGUAACAGUUGUCCCAGAUAGAUAACCGCCCUUUUGUGAAGAUGUUGAUAUAACAUUUUUACAGAUGAACAGAACCCGGCUUAUGUCCGACUCUUUCC